UACGGAGGGUGCGAGCGUUGUUCGGAAUUACUGGGCGUAAAGCGCGUGUAGGCGGGCUAUUAAGUCGGUUGUGAAAGCCCAGAGCUCAACUUUGGAAUUGCAGCCGAAACUGGUAGUCUUGAAUGCCUGAGAGGAUGGCGGAAUUCCUGGUGUAGAAGUGAAAUUCGUAGAUAUCAGGAGGAACACCGGAGGCGAAGGCGGCUAUCUGGCAGUGCAUUGACGCUGAGACGCGAAAGCGUGGGGAGCAAACAGG
rnacentral:misc_RNA from 1 species